rnacentral:rRNA from 1 species
UACGUAGGGUGCGAGCGUUGUCCGGAAUUAUUGGGCGUAAAGAGCUCGUAGGCGGUUUGUCACGUCUGCUGUGAAAACUGGAGGCUCAACCUCCAGCCUGCAGUGGGUACGGGCAGACUAGAGUGCGGUAGGGGAGCACGGAAUUCCUGGUGUAGCGGUGAAAUGCGCAGAUAUCAGGAGGAACACCGGUGGCGAAGGCGGUGCUCUGGGCCGAAACUGACGCUGAGGAGCGAAAGCGUGGGUAGCAAACAGG